GGCCCAGAGGAGUAGAGUGCAGCCAAGGGAAUGAGUGGCAGCAACAAGAAAGGAGCUGCUCUUGUCAACUUGGCAGUGGCUUCUCCCACCCCCCAAUUGUGGCAUAUAUUGUGCUAAACUGCCCACAUCUGGUAGGAGCCUCUGUUACAUUUUACGUCUGCUAUGCUAAGUCACGGGGCUUGUUUGGUUUCGGCACAAAGGCCUAUCUGCUGUGGUUGGCAAAGUAUAGUUUACAGCUUAGCAUGUUGGGCAAAUGAUUGUUGAAUAAUGGUUCAAUAAAUCAUAUUUAGUGGAAUAUGUGAAUUGGCCCUACGUGUUUCCCAAACUUGGUGUUUUCAAGCGAUACUGCAUUGUUUCCCUACCCUAGCUAGCUGUACUAGCAGGGCAUAUGGGAGGGGGGGGAGACCAGUUGGAAAAACUGCUGCAAAUACUGAAAAUUUUUAAAAUUCAGAUUUGCUGAACUUAGCAUGAUGGAUAUUGAGCAGACUGUGGCUUGUCCUCUCUCCCGUGUGUGUGCUCACUUGAAGCAAAAGCCCUGGGGAUGAGCAGCGAGAAACAAAAUGAGCUCGCUGGCUGUGCGCCAUUUUUGACUGGGUCACGAUGAGGGUUGGGGAAAGCAUCUAAACCUGAGGUAGGCAGCUUCUGAAAGCCUCAGGGCUGCAACCCAGCCUCCCUGUCCUCUGCUUGGCUGAAAGAGGCCACCCAGUGAUGAUGCCACGGUGAUGUCACGCUUGAAACAUUUUGGUUCGGAACAGGAAGCUGCAGAGAGGCAAACUGCUAACACUGACACCUAAACUCCUCCCCACUUAAAGACGGUCCCAAACCAUGUUCUGAAAGCGAGUCAUUUUGCUGGUAAGUUGCAGUGGUACAAUCUUGGGGGACUUUGAGAUCUUGGACUAUUGAUUUUCCACCUCUGACCGAAAACGAGAUUAGGGAGGGUUAGUUUUAGUCUUAAAGGUUUGGUUUGGGCCAAGUGCUCUCCCAAAUGCAAGUGCAACUCUGUUGUGAGAGGAACAGAAGCCUCCACAGAGGAGACCUGUAUUUUAAUCACUUAAAUCAUUUUUUUAAUUGAAAAAAAAGUUGUCAUCCUUGCAAGGAUAAUAUUAACGAUACCAAGGCCAAGCAGGGACUGCCUGUCCUCUCUAAUGCUGAUGUCAUGUUUUGUCUCUCCCAUUGCCUUAAUUUCCCUUCUGGGAUCAGAGGCGAGAUGCAAUAUUGUCGGCUCCAAUCAGCGUUGAAGGAAUGCUUUUCCAACUUGUGGUCUGCUGCAUCAUCCUGGUUGUUGGACAGUUGUAUUAUUCAGGCACCUUGAGAAGAAGGACAGAAUAUGCUGUAAAAAGAAGAGGGUUUAUGUGGCAGGGGAGGUGUUUGGACAAAACUCCCUUGUUUGCUCCCAGUUCCAAAAGCAAGCUCUCCCUGCUGUUCUAACCCUCCGUAAUCCUUGCUUCCUGCCACGUGAAGAUCUUGUAGGCCUUUUAGGAAAAGCCUGGCUGAGUGUUUUAGAAAUGGCUGACAUUUUGACAGUAGACUCAGCAGCUGGCUCGGUGGAAACACAAACAGCCUUUAAGCCAAACUGGGCUUUGUUGCUAGCCUUCCUUCCCUCUAUGAUCCCCAAUCUGUUUGCAAAUCAGUAUGAGAUGCCAGGAGAAGCUUUUGCUGUCUGGUAGUUUUGGCUGGCUGGAAGGCUCAGAUACUUAGCAAAGGCCAACACCUACAUGCCAGAGGAGAGCAAAGAGCUGGUCGGAUUAGGUUUUAGUCAGGCCAAGCUGAUCCAGCAGCAGAAUAAUUCAGGAAGCCCCAAACUUCUUCCUUCUCUGUUUCCAAUCCAAGCGUGCAUUUUUCUCUCUGUCUCUCUCUGUGUGACAAAUUGGGGGCUGGAAUAAAGAACCUUUGGGCUAUCUGACAUUCCCCUGGCCAUUGCCAAACAGGGUUUAAUUGGGGUGCGUUGCGUGCACAGGUAUUACUUCUCUUUCCCUUUUUUGCACUGGGGAGCUGCACAGAUCUUUUGUAAAAUGUUCUACAUCAGCGCUCUCAAACAUGUUGCAUUCCAGAUAUGUUGAACCAGCAGUUUCCAGAAUGCCCAAGCAGUGUGGCCAAUGGCUUGUGGGAGCCAUAGUUUGGCUUGGGUGAGGGUGAAUGUUGGGGAGUCUAAGAUAAAAAGGGGGAGUUGUGUACCACAAGGUAGAUCUGGGAUUUAGAAGGAACAAUGUCAAUCAUCAGGGUGGGUCAAAACAAAUUGGGAUUGACGGUCUCUGUGUGCUUUGCCCUAGAUCAACAAAAGCGGCUUUCCUAAAACUUGGCACCCUCUAGCUGUGUUAUGUCAGAUCUCUGUAUUCUCAUCCAGGAGUAAGUCCACACAUCUGGAGCAUGCUCAGGCUAGAAAAGGCUAAGACUGUUUGGACCACAGCAAUGUCUAGUCUCCAAUCCCACCCUGAACACUUCGCUCUGAUCUGAAGGACGGGGACUUCUUCCAGCUGGAACAGCUGCAUUAAAAGAACAGAAAAGAUCAGGCUUCCAAAUCAUAAAUGUAGGAUGAGGUCACUAUUCUGUCUCCUUCCAAUAAACAUGGAGAGUUUUGUGAUCUUGUUUUAAUAACUUGGUUAGCGAGCUCCUUUCAUCUUCUGAAGUCACAUUGUCUAUUGUUUUCUUCUUCGAAUGUGCUGGAUAUUCAUAAUGAAAUAGAAAACAAGAAUUGCCUAUUUUGAUUUGUUUGUUUCAAUGUUUUCCCCCCAAUAUAUUGAACCAGUAGUUUAAGUAUAAGAUCAGCCUAUAAAUGAAGACUGUGUAUGACAGACCCAUGGGAGGGGGCUCUGUCAUUUGCAUUAGAGGACAUAGUCAAAUAAGA